AGGGCUGGAUGGCUGCGGGCCGUAAGGCUCGAGGAAAGUCCGGACUCCACAAAGUGACGGUGCCGGGUAACGCCCGGGCGGGGAAACCCGACGGAAAGCGCCACAGAAAGCAAACCGCCCGUGCUUGCACGGGUAAGGGUGAAAGGGUGGGGUAAGAGCCCACCGGGGGACUGGUAACAGUGUCCGCAUGGCAAGCCCCACCGGGAGCAAUGCCGAAUAGGAACCUUGUGCGGGUUGAUCGGUUCGCCGAUAUCACCGCAGGGCCGCUUUGGCCCAAGGGUUCGGGUUGGCAGCUAGAGGCGCAGGGGCAAUCCUGCGUUUAGAGGAAUAGUCAUCCAAGGGGGUAACCCUGGGACAGAAUCCGGCUUAUAGGCCCUCC
rnacentral:RNase_P_RNA from 1 species